rnacentral:piRNA from 1 species
UGUCGUUGGGCCACUCUGAGGCAUGA